GAAAGUGAAUCCGUCAUCACCAGCCUCCAAGAAUUUUCAAGCUCAACCAUACACAACCACCCUGCAUCAAGGAGGCACAACCAUAACAAAAUCAACAUUUUUAUUGAUCAAAUUGAUUAUCGAAUAAAUUCUAGGGGAGCAAAAAACGAAAAGGAAAGAAAAUCAGUUAAUCAAGCUAAACAAUGACUUUCCAUGGCAGAAUAGAAGUUUUCUGCUAAAUAUCAAUAAAAUUUAAGCAAUCAAAGAUGAAAAUUUAUAACAAUUAUCCAGUUAACUAGGAAGUGGGUAACUUCCAAAUCAAAAAUAGAAGAAAACCCAGAUGCCAUUGCCUAUUUUUAUCCAAAAGGAAAAUUCACAGCAAUUAUCAAGUCCAACUAGCAACUGGGUUAUCUUCCAAAUCAAAAUUAAACAACACCCAGAUGUUAAAAAUUGCUUCUUUCUAUCCAAAUUAAAGAGCAAGUCAAAAGCAUUAGCCUCUAAGCAAAGUGGCAGAUCUCAAAUGGUAACAUCACACCAAUUGUCCUAAGAAAAAUUAAUCUAAACAUUUCCUAAAAGGAAGAUGUAAACAAGGAAAUUCCUGAAACAAAAGAGACAAGAACACAUGUACAAAAUAAUAUUUUGUAUUAAUGAUUUGGGGGUUACAAUCUCUUCUACAAAUUUAGCCUCUGAUUCGAUCUUCGUAAGAUGUAGACUUGUGGAUAUUUUGUUGAUCCAAGGGCCGUCGAGGCUUGAUCUUAGAUGAACGAUUGGAAGUUUCUUCAAGGGCCUUAGGGGCUUAAUCUUGAAGGUUGAGGGAAGUUUCUUCAAGGGCCUUCGGGGAUUGAUCUCGAAGGUUGAUGGAUUAAUGGAUCUUCAAGAGCUUUUGGGCUUGAUCUUAAAGAACGGGGAUGAAUGGAUCUUCAAGGGCUUUUGGGCUUGAUCUUGAAGAACGGGUGUGGAUUUGUUGAUGUUGUUGAUCCAAAUGGUCGUUGGGGCUUGAUCUUAGGAUGAACGAAUGAUGAACAAUGAACACUUUCUUCAAGGGUCGUCGGGGAUUGAUCUUGAAUUGGUGGAAGUUCUUUAAGGGCCGUUAGCGCUUGAUCUUGAAUGAGGAUUUGACGAAGAACGAAGAGAGCUUUCUUGAUCCUUCAGGAUUUGCUUGGGAGCUUUGGAGUUUCAAAGCUUCAAGGCUUUGGUGUGAUGUGAAUUGGUCCCUCAAAAUGAAUGCCUUGGCUUCCUAUUUAUAGAAUUUCAAAACUUGAUUUUUGGGUUUAAAUAAUCAGAUGAAAUAAAUCAUUUCUGCCAGGUGUUGAAACAUGUCCUACUUGAUGACUUUUCUAAUGAUUUUCGAUUUUUCGUUGAGUUACAUGCUACGUGUAAAAUUUAUGUGACAGGUGAACGUUGGAAUUUUAAUUUUUGAUCUACAUUUAUUUCACCGAAAACUCCGGCUGUGUAAGUUUAUCUUACAUUGCCGGUCCCAAGCCCGGGUAAAGGAGGAGGGGGAGGGCGUCAGGUAGUCGACAGCCGGCACUCCAUAGUUACGUCGAAUCCUUAUGAAAAUGAAUCCAGAACGAAAUCGCACUAAAGCUAGGGCGUCACCCGUAAGUGGCGCGCUGUGUGGCCCGAGCACAGUGAUAAGUGAGUAAGGGUCGCUGUAUCUCCAUCGGCACCCGGAUGCAGUGUUAAAUGAGCAAGGGGGCCAUAGAAACUUCUUUUCGAACGACUCCACUCAAAGUUGUUUGGGAGCAUAUGCUCCUAUCAACUUUACACAUGACACACAAAAGAAGUACUUUGAUUCUAUUGGAUGAGGGAGGGUGAAGAAGUUAGGACAGAAGGGUAGAGUUCAAGAGAGCAGAAUGUGUUUAGGAACGUGGAAUAUAGGAACCUUAACGGGAAAAUCUAUGGAAGUAGUGGAAGUUAUGGUGAGGAUAAGGAUAAAUAUUAUGUGCCUACAAGAAACUAAAUGGGUUGGACUUAAGGCAAAGGAUCUAGAAAACUCAGGGUUUAAACUUUGGUAUUCGGGCACAAAUAGAACGAGAAACGGUGUUGGCAUCAUCGUGGACAAGACCUUGACACAAGAUAUUGUAGAUGUCAAAAGGGUAGGAGAUAGAAUCAUGGCAAUCAAGAUUGUAAUAGGACAAGAACUCAUCAAUGUGAUUAGUGCGUACGCACCUCAAGUAGGGUUGGAUACGAGUUCGAAGGAGAAAUUUUGGGAAGACCUUGGAGACUUGGUGCAAGGAAUUGCCCAGACGGAGAAGUUAUUUAUAGGAGGAGAUUUAAAUAGACACGUGGGCAGAGAGACAGGCAACUAUGGAGGUUUUCAUGGUGGCCAUGGUUUUAGGGAGAGAAACGAGGAUGGGGAAGCUAUCUUGGAUUUUGCAAUGGCAUAUGAUCUCUUCUUAGCCAACACCUUCUUUAAUAAGAGAGAAGAACAUGUGAUCACCUACAAGAGUGGAUCGUCAAAAACACAAAUAAAUUUUCUUCUAAAGAGGAAAGGGGAUCGUAUAACUUGUAAGGAUUGCAAAGUUAUACCGGGAGAGAGCUUGGCUAAUCAACAUCGCUUGUUGGUGAUGGAUGUACAUAUCAAAAGAGUGAGAAAAAAGAACAAGACUUGGAAGUGCCCAAGGACUAGAUGGUGGAAUCUAAAAGGAGAAAAACAAGUCAUUUUCAAAGAGAAAGUAAUCACCCAGUAUGGGUGGGAUAGAGAGGGGGAAGCUAGCCAAAGGUGGGAUUCCAUGGCUAGUUGUAUCCGAAAAGUAGCAAAAGAUGUAUUAGGAGAGUCCAAGGGCUUUGCUCCAUACCAAAAGGAAUCUUGGUGGUGGAAUGAGGAGGUACAAACAAAGGUGAAGGCUAAGAAGGAAUGUUGUAAAGCCUUAUACAAGGACAGGACCGAUGAAAAUGGUGAAAGGUAUAGAAAAGCGAAGCAAGAGGCGAAGAAAGCUGUGAGAGAAGCUAAGUUAGCGGCUUAUGACGAUAUGUAUAAGCGACUAGAUACCAAAGAAGGAGAGUUGGAUAUCUAUAAACUAGCUAGAGCAAGGGAAAAGAAUACAAGAGACCUAAACCAAGUGAGGUGCAUCAAGGAUGAGGAUGGAAAUGUUCUUGCUACAAAGAACGCGGUCAAAGACAGAUGGAGAGGUUAUUUUCAUAAUCUUUUCAAUGAAGGACAUGAAAGGAGUACUUCUUUAGGGGAGUUGAGUAACUCAGAAGAGUGUAGAAACUACUCCUUUUAUCGUCGAAUCAGGAAAGAAGAAGUGGUUGUAGCUUUGAAGAAGAUGAAGCAUAGAAAAGCAGUGGACCCAGACGAUAUACCGAUCGAAGUGUGGAAAGUCUUGGGAGAGACAGAUAUAGCAUGGCUCACUGACCUUUUCAAUAGGAUUUUGAAAACGAAGAAGAUGCCAAAUGAGUGGCGAAAGAGCACUUUGGUGCCUAUCUACAAGAAUAAGGGCGACGUACAAAAUUGCAUGAACUAUAUGGGUAUUAAGCUAAUGAGUCAUACAAUGAAGCUCUGGGAGAGAGUCAUUGAGCAUAGAUUGAGGCAAGAGACACGGGUUUCGGAUAACCAAUUCGGGUUCAUGCCAGGGCGCUCAACCAUGGAGGCAAUCUAUCUCUUACGAAGAUUGAUGGAAAGAUAUAGAGAUGGGAAAAAGGAUUUACACAUGGCCUUUAUAGAUUUGGAAAAAGCGUAUGAUAGGGACCCAAUAGACAUUCUUUGGAGGAUUUUAGAGAAGAAAGGAGUACGAGUAGCAUAUAUCCAAGCUAUAAAGGAUAUGUAUGAAGGAGCAAAGACUGCCGUAAGAACUUAUGAAGGACAAACCGAAAGCUUUCCCAUAACUGUAGGAUUACAUCAAGGCUCAUCCUUAAGUCCUUACCUUUUUGCGUUGGUAAUGGAUGAGUUAACAGGACAUAUUCAAGAUGAUAUUCCUUGGUGUAUGCUUUUCGCAGACGAUAUAGUGUUGAUAGAUGAAACUCAGGAAGAGGUAAAUGCGAAGCUUAACCUUUGGAGAGAAGUGUUGGAAUCUAAAGGUCUUCGCCUAAGCCGAUUAAAGACAGAAUAUAUGGAGUGCAAGUUCAGUGCAAAUGGAGGCCAAAAUGAGUUAGGGGUGAGGAUCGGAGAUCAGGAAAUACCAAAGAGCGAUCGUUUUCGCUACUUAAGAUCUAUUUUGCAAAAAAACGGAGAAUUAGAUGGAGAUCUUAACCAUAGAAUACAAGCUGGAUGAAUGAAGUGGAAGAGUGCAUCCGGCGUGUUGUGUGACCGCCGUAUGCCACUGAAGCUCAAGGGAAAAUUUUAUAGGACGGCAAUAAGGCCAGCGAUGCUGUAUGGCACAGAAUGUUGGGCGGUGAAGCAUCAACACGUACACAAAAUGGGUGUAGCGGAGAUGAGGAUGCUUCGUUGGAUGUGUGGGCACACGAGAAAGGAUAAGAUUAGGAAUGAGGAUAUCCGAGGUAAAGUAGGAGUAGCCGAAAUUGUAGGAAAGUUGAGAGAAAAUCGGUUACGGUGGUUUGGACAUGUGCAAAGAAGGCCUACUAACGCUCCGGUUAGAAGAUGCGACUAUGGGACAGAGGUUCAAGGCCGAAGGGGUAGAGGAAGACCUAGGAAAACUUUGGAAGAGACUAUAAGAAAAUACUUAGAGUAUUUGGAUCUAAUGGAGGACAUGACACAUGACCGAGCACAAUGGCGUUCUAAGAUUCAUAUAGCCGACCCCACUCAGUGAAUAAGGCUUUGGUGUAUUUAAUACAAUACGUUGGAAAUAAAGCAAAGCUUAUUUAUUGAUAUCUCUGAUAAGUUACAAAUAUGUACAUAUACAUGAGUCAAAAUAAACAAACAAGAGGGAGCCUUCACAAAGGUUGCUUAUGAGAAGUCUUAGCAGUCGGUAGAGCCCCAGAAAGAGAAGGCAUCGGAGGGGGAUCAUUCGGAGCCUCAGUACUGGACAGAACCCUAGAAGGAGGAGGCAUCGGAGGUUGAUCAUUUGGAGCUUCAUUAUGCGGUACAGCUUCAGAAGACGAAGGCAAUAAAUGCCUUUGAAAACAAACCCACAAACCGCUCUGAUGAUCAAGUAAAAACCUGACCAUCAGAUUCCUUCAUCUAGGUCAAGCUUCCUCUUCAUGUUUGUAGCAUAGUUAUGUGCGAGCCGGUGCAACUGUUUAUUCUCAUGCUUGAGCCCUCUAAUCUCCUGUUUGAGACUCAUCACUUCAGCCGCCAAUGAUUCAACUUGGCGGGUUCGAGCAAAUAGGCGUUGGGGCCAUAUUAGACACAGAACCUGCACACUGAAUACUCAAAGCCAGAGAAUCCUUAACAGCCAAUUCAUCAGACCGUUUGGAAAGUAGUCUGUUAUAUUUGGGAGUGAGAAGGUUCCUAGCCACCACCGCAGCGGUCAUAUCAUUCUUCAUCACGGAAUCCCCAACGGUAAGAGGACUAGUAAGGGAUAAGAAGGAUGGGCGCCAUAUGUUGUCUGGAGAAGGCGUGGCUGCCUCUUCAACAAGGUUCAAGUCAAAACCAUGGUCGGAGGGGCCAGAUAUUUUCAAAGGUGUUGAAGAGAGAAGAGGUCGGACAAAUCAAGAUCUUAGAAGUGCAAGAAGGGAGCUUCUACUGGUGAAGAUUCAAGUGUGUUUUGAAACUUAAUGCCAGCCUCUAUAACAAUCUGCACUCGACGGAGCUUUAGAAAUCGAAGAGGCGUCUGCCCAGAAAUCGAAGAGGCGUUUGCUUUCUCAAAAGAUGGGCUGCUCAGAAACCACGAGGGCCGAUCUUAGAAAUCGAAGAGGCGUUUGCUUUCUCAAAUGCUAAGCUGCUCAAAGACCACGAAGACCGAUCUCAGAAAUCGAAGAGGCUUGCUUUCUCAAAAGCUGGGCUGCUCAGAGACCAUGAGGGCCGAUCUUAGAAAUCGAAAAGGCACCUGCUUUUUUCAGCCUUGUCAGCACCUGUCAAAUGCACACUUAGCUUUGCUGAAAAUUACGGGCACUCUGUUGAAGAUUUCUGGUGAAGUAGAAAGCAUGUGAAUCUUACUGUUCAAUCAUCCCACUUUUCCACACGCAACCAAUAGCUCAGGGGUACCACAGAUAACUUUGCCAAAGAUUCUCUGACAAAGUUUAGACACGUGAAGCUUGCAGCUCCCACUACAUCGCUAUGACCAAGAAGGGUAAAAGAAUAGCAAAGAAACAGCACUAACAAAGUUUAGACACAUAAAUUUUGGAGGUCUAGCUAUCAUAUUAUUACCCACAAGGGUAAAGGAACAGCACCACUGCUGGAUAAUUGGAAAGUCCCUGUGUGUCAACCUCUGUGCUCCGUGGCAAGGUAGACUAGCAAACAUGCCCUACCUUUACUCACAUUCGAGAAAACACUCCCAACAAGAUUGCUUGCUCCAAAAUCGAAGAGGCACCGUUCCUCCGAAUCUCGAGAGCCAAGACUCCCAACAUGAUUAAUUUCUCAAAAAUCGAAGAGACACCACUCUCCGAAUCUCGAGAGCCAGACUCCCAGCAGGAUUACUCUCUCAAAAAUCGAAGAGGCACCAUUCUCCGAAUUUCGAGAGCCAGAUCCCCGACAGGAUUACUUGUUCGAAAACCGAAGAGGCACCGUUUUCUCAACUUCGAGAGCCAGAUCUCCUUGGAUAAAGCUUGUCUGUAAUCUUCACACGCAACAUCAGCUUUCCAGAUACCACAGACCACUUUUUCAAAGUGCUCUGACACACGUGAAGCUGGCAGCUCCCACUACCGUGCUAUGACCAAACAGGGUAAAUGAAUAGCAUUACUACUUGUUGUUAGGGAGACUCCUAUAUAUGUCGACCUCCAUCCUCAACGGACAGGCAGACCUACAAAAAUGCUUAACCCUUCCUCAUAUCUGAGAGGGCACUUCCAACGAAGCCUCUCGAAAUACUCAGCUUUCUUUCACCCCGAUAAUACCUCUGCAAACAAGCUACACCAGAGCAAGAAUAUCUCAUAUCAUCAGGGUUAAAAGGAAAAGUAUCCCAUAUCAUGCUUUUUCCCUGUCUUUUCCUUUGGCCUUAUUCUUACCUACAAGACAAGAAGAAAGAGAGCAAUCAGUCAGCACUUGGAAUCAAGCUUCCAGUUAGGAACUGACUGCCUGGAACCCCUUACCUGAUUACUUACCUGGCAUUGCUCUUGAGUACUCAUCUUCAACAUCUUAUGCUUCUAGAGAAGAUACCACAUCUGCCUGAGGAACCAAUAGGGAAAGUAAGAAGGAUACAAGGAAUCAUGUGGAGACAAGCGUAACAGAACGCGUGCCGAUACAUCCACUACUUUGUCAACAACAAAAAUAUCCCAUAUCAGCAGGGUCGAACGUACUCUAGAUUUGAUGGACUUGUUUUGACCCUCAAAUUCUUCAGUCGGCCUUAUACUCUGGAGGAAACUAGAAAACCCUCCAGCCUAGUUCAAGAAUAAGCCUGUGGAAAGUUACUUCUUCAAAAGCAAAAGUAUCUCAUAUCAUCUAUUCUCCUUUUCUUCUCUUUAUCCUUCAUGCUGCCUGCAAGAUAGGGAGAAUGAGAACAAUCAGCCGGAACUCGAAAUCAAACUUCUGAUCUGGGACUGAUUGCUUGGAGCUCUAAUUGCUUACCUUAUCUGUCACCUCUUUCAGCAGAUCCCUUAGCUCGGCGACUUGGGGGACUCCUACUACAUGUUUUGUAUCGCGCUUGACCAAGCCUGAAACUACAAGUAAGCUUCAAGUGAAAUUGAUACAUUACCUUGUGCAUCUCCACCAGUUAAAGAUACCACCCCUGGAUGGAGGAAGAGUACUUCCAGAGAAGAUGCCACAUCUACCUAUGAGACAGAUAAGGCAAGUGAAGACGAUACCACACUUCGGUACUUAGAAGUUUCGUGAUUACGAGAUCAUUCUCCCACAAUAUUUCCUAAUGUCAUUUGUACUCACUAAAGGAGAGCUUGAACCUAUGUACUUGUGUAAACCCUUCACAAUUAUGUUUGCUUUCCUGUCUUUAUCCUUUUACAUACUUAUCCACACUAAUGACCAGAGCAAUAACUUAAUACUUUCUGUUGUACCAAAGUCCUCACUGAUUUUGUGCAUCAACAAUCCUUAAGUCCUUACCCUUUUGCGUUGGUAAUGGAUGAGUUAACAAGACAUAUUCAAGAUGAUAUUCCUUGGUGUAUGCUUCUCGCAAAUGAUAUAGUGUUGAUAGAUGAAACUCAGGAGGGGUAAAUGCGAAGCUUAACCUUUGGAGAGAAGUGUUGGAAUCUAAAGGUCUUCGCCUAAGCCGAUCAAAGACAGAAUAUAUGGAGUGCAAACUCAGUGCAAAUGGAGGCCAAAAUGAGUUAGGGGCGAGGAUCGGAGAUCAGGUAAUACCAAAGAGCGACCGUUUUCGCUACCUAGGAUCUAUCUUGCAAAAGAACGGAGAAUUAGAUGGAGAUCUCAACCAUAGAAUACAAGCUGGAUGGAUGAAGUGGAAGAGUGCAUCCGGCGUGUUGUGUGACUGUCAUAGGCCAUUGAAGCUUAAGGGAAAAUUUUAUAGGAUGGCAAUAAGGCCGACGAUGAUGUAUGGCACAGAAUGUUGGGCGGUGAAGCAUCAACACGUACACAAAAUGGGUUUGGACAUGUGCAAAACCGAGCGCAAUUGCGUUCUAGGAUUCAUAUAGCCGACCCCACUUAGUGGGAAAAGGCUUUGUUGUUGUUUUUGUAUUUAUUUCACCGAAAUUUCGAUGUCUACAGAAGAAUAGAAAUAGAGAGCCUGUGAGACCCUCUUCAAUUCCAAAUACUCAUUCAACUCUCCCAAUGAUUUUCUACUCUGCAAUCAAACAAAAACCCCAAUUGAACAAAAAUUGAAAAAUCACUCGAAACAAAACAGUAAAACCCCAAAAAAUUAACAGAAAAUAGCAAACAAGAAACCCAAUUGAAUAAAAAACCGCAAACCCACAAAUCCAAUCAAAACCCAGAUGCAAAUUUCACCAAAUAAUUUGAACACAGAGCACUCUACACUGUUACAAAAAGAGUGUUUGGAAUGAGAUGAGGAAUAUCUACCAUUAAUGGCAGACAAAAGACCAAAAUUCAAGUCUCCGAGUCCAUGAUAUAUUUCAUAUCAGAAUUGGUGAUGAAUGAUAAGAACAUGUUAAUUAGCCCUAAAACUUACGCAAUUUAAUUUUAAGUGUUUAUUAUAUGGGUGUUCAUCGAAUCUAAACAUUCACAUAUAGCAUACACAUUCUCCCCAGCCAAGCACAACAAAAACACAAAUAACUCUUUAAUCCAAAACAAGAUUCAGGGAACAUGAAUAGAGAAGUAAUCAUUUUUUCUUUUCUCUCAAAUUUUCUUGUUUCCUCCACAAACCCUAAUUUUUUCCCCAAUUUUUUCCCCAAUUGUUUUCUCCAUCCCUAGUUUUCCCGACACCCAUACACUCAUCCCUUCACUCUUCCCACCCCUCUUUCACUCUCCCCAUCCCCAAAUUAAAAAAUCCAAACAAAUAAAUAACAACAUUUUAGAGAAAAGAAGCUUACCAGAGGAAUGAGGGAAGGCGACAGCUGGCGCUGGGACCGACGGAGAUAGAGGAAAAAGAGGAGAAGGAGAAGAGGUGCAGCUGCAGGCAACAGAGGAGAAGAGGGCGUGUUGAAUGUUCUGCAAUUUCAGGAGGGCAUGCGAGAGAGAAGAGGGCGUGAAUGUUCUGUGAUUUCAGGAGGGCGUGCAAGAGAGAAGGCAGAGAGAAACGAGGGAAACAUUGGCAAUUUGAAAAUUUCAUUAAAAUAAUUAUUGUAGCUCCGUGUUUUGACAAGAAGCUGUUUUCUGAAGCUGCUUUUUGCAGCUUCCCAUUUUUAGCUUUUUUUCAUCUGAAACUUUGAAAAAAAAGCUUCAUCGCACCUUUUUUUUUUAAAUCACCUCAACCCCAAACUGGGGUUUAGUGAUUCACAACUAUUAGGAUAUUUUGAAAAGUGAUUUGAUGCAAUUUCAGUCGGAAGGUUCCUUGAAAUUGGCGUUGGCUUCUUGUGGUUAAUAAUUAUAAUUUCACUUAGGAUGAACACCACGUCUUAAAGGUUGCAUGGUUUUUCAAAGAGUUUUCACAGAACUUAAUAAGUCUUUUGACACACCCCGACCCGGAAUGUCCACUUAGACUCUGAAUCGAGUUGUGCUGGCCAACACCUGGAUGAUGACGAAGCCAUAAAGUGUAGUGUAGUGGAAAAAAGAUGUGAAUAAAUUUAAACCUAAAAGUGCCUAAUCAAAAGAGUGCGUGAGUGAGCAGGAUUGAACUCAUUUCACACGUGAUGUCAGAGCAUAAGACAGUAUAGUAAAUAGGAUGAGGGUUAUACCAAUGAAGAUAACCAUCUUCUAAGAUUUGCCAGAAUCCUUGUUUACACGUAAACACAUCUACUAAACCUGGAUGGGUGAAAAACAAAGUUGAGUGGGUCAACAAAACAACAUUUGUAAGAAAAACCUUUAUCUUCGAACAUAGUAACCCCUCGUUGUAAAACAAGUAUAGUUUCCGUAAAACAUACUAUAUAAGUAUGAAAAUCAAGUGCAUGCCAAAUGUAAGUCUAAAAGUAUGCCACAACAGAUAUUCUCAACAACAAUAUAGAUAUGAUUAUGUGCUGUAAUCUAUACUAACAUGUCAGUCGGAGUCACCUAAUGUGACUUGUACGACUGCACCUAUAGCUCAUCCGUCUAUGCUAACACAUCGAGUCGGAACUGCCUAGUGCAGUCUGUACGACAAGCUAGGUGUGAUAAUAACACUAUAGUGCUACGAUCACGUGAAGAUUACACUAGGCGCAGUUACCAUCGAGUCUGAACCACCUAUUGUGGUCUGUACGACAAGCUAACACCUACUUAGAUCCAAGGCGAGUGUGCGGUGCCGAGGUGUGAACAUACACGUGAAGGCUAGCCUGGCCUCGGGUUGAGCACUCACCAGGGGUGUAGCAAUGAUGAGCAGACUAUAGACAUGCAUGCCAAUAAGUCUUAAUCAUUAAAUCAAUCACAUAACCUUACCUAAACUUACUUACACGUCCCGCGCUCACCUUAGCAUUUCAAACCGUUCACAACAAUCAUGUGCAUGUAAAAUGCAUAUGGGUAUGCCAUGAUAUUGAGUAAAAACCCAAAACAUAAUAUAGGAUUUUGAAAUAUAAAAAUCAUGGCAUAACAUGCAUAAUUCAUUUAAAACGUUUAUGGAACUAAUUCAAUUAGUUUAAUAACACAUAUACGGACACUUAUAUAAAGCCUCCGUAUAUUGCUCAAACAUAGGGUUUGAAUAUACGAAAUCGAUCUACUCGAUGUCACGGACCCACACAUGUCGACCACACGCUGGCCAUAGGCCGGACACACCGCCAUGUGCCCCACGCUCUGAUGACCCACGUGAGACCAUGCUCGCCCACACACCUGCGAGUACAGCUGUACUCGCCUUCCUCACGAGUUCUUGCGUUUUGCAGGUUGACGGUCCAACUUCCAGAGCUCCUAACGAGCUCGAUUCUCAACCAAAAACAAUUCUAUAAAGACCAAAUUAAAGCUAGGAAUGUAAUGAAUCAAUCCAUAUUCACAGAAAGUUCAAAUGUAGUCAUGUUGUCCAGGAAUUUGGCCUGAAAGUGGCCAAAUGGCCAUGGUAAAAAAUUUCCAGAAACCAAGAUUUUUCAUCCCAACUUUGAAGGUUGAUUUCUAGUUUGAAACUUAACCAUUUCUAAUGUUCUACCUAUGUAGUUGAAGCUUGUGAUGAGGAGAACAAGAUCAUACCAAAAUCAAGGCUCAACGGAGGCCGAACAUGAACGAAAAAUAGAUCUGAAUAUGGCUCGACGGCCACGAUUUCUUCUUCCAAAAUCCGGGGAACACUCUUCCCCGAGAUUCGAUCUGCAAUUUAAACCACCCAUAAACCCCCUAAUUACGACUAGAACAACAUUAGGGGAUUGAAACUAGAGAGAUUUGAGAUCCAAGGGUUCCAAAGUUACCUUGGUUGUGUAUGGUGGAAGGUUGCCAUGAAAAUGGCAAAUGGAGGUAAUGGCUGGUCUUUUUCCUGACCUGGUGUACAAGUGUUGAAGUUUUGCUUCCAUUAUGUCUCAGGUUCGAAGGCUGGUAUUCGUUAAGAUGGUAAGUUUGAUGAUGAUCAAGCAAGUGUAUGAGUAUGUUUGCAGAGAAUGAGAGAGAGGUCUCGGUUUACA
rnacentral:lncRNA from 1 species